rnacentral:lncRNA from 1 species
GUAGUUAAUCCCCUCAUUAACGGCGAUGAGAAAUGAAUUAUUAAACUCGUGCCAUUUUCGUAUUUCAGGUAGUGAGAGGCCCUAAAAUCCCAAAGGUGUCAUAGGGGAAGUCAGAAAAGUGUUGAAGACUCUACUUCCUGCAAACAUGAGGUUCUCUCCGCAGUUCUCAUGGUAAAGAAGGUUCAGGUGGCAAACACAGAAGGUUUUGUCUUAAAGCCAUAGCCACACUCACGAGGCACAGAUGGAAACUGCUUCCAAAGAGGAAGGUAUUGUGAAUGCUGACAUCGCCUCUUGGGCAGAAUUCUCUUACCUCACUGGAGAUGGGUUCAGUGAGCAGAUCCCUCUCCUGGAAACUGAGAGAGUUUCCGCAGGCAUCUUAAAGGAUCACAAGUUCCAUCUGUUGCGCGAUGUGACGAUUGUGCACAGCAGAUUGGAGGCACCCUUUCAGACUGAAACCUCUUACAUCCUCAUAUAGUCCUUUUCAUGGAACUACAAUGCAAGCAGUUGUAUAGAGCGCAGUGAACUGCGAUGCUAGCUUCCGAUCCCGAGAAAAUGUAUAGAUUGGCUUUUGGCAUCUAAGAGCACAUAUUAGUCAGCUUGGACCUCCAUAACAAAAUACCACGGAUUGGGUGGCUCAAACAACAAAGAUGUAUUUUUCACAGUUCGGGAGGCUGGGAAGACGAUCUCUCUUUGCUGCCCAAUUAGGUUUCUGGUGAGG